GACGAACGCUGGCGGCGUGCCUAAUACAUGCAAGUCGAACGCAGUGGGGACGGGGGAGGGACACGUGGGUAACCUCCCAUCAGAGGGGAUAACACUUGGAAACAGGUGCUAAUCCGAUACUGAUGGAUGGACCCGCGGGGCAUGAGCUAGUUGGGGGGGUAAAGGCCCACCAAGGCCACGAUGCUUAGCUGACCUGAGAGGGUGAUCUGCCACACUGGGACUGAGACACGGCCCAGACUCCUACGGGAGGCAGCAGUAGGGAAUCUUGGGCAAUGGGCGAAAGUCUGAACGAGCCACGCCGCGUGAUUGAAGAAGGUUUUCGGAUCGUAAAACUCUGUUGUUAGAGAAGCGGUAUCUAACCAGAAAGCCACGGCUAACUACGUGCCAGCAGCCGCGGUAAUUC
rnacentral:rRNA from 1 species